AAUAUUGGACAAUGGGCGCAAGCCUGAUCCAGCCAUGCCGCGUGAGUGAUGAAGGCCCUAGGGUUGUCAAGCUCUUUCACCGGUGAAGAUAAUGACGGUAACCGGAGAAGAAGCCCCGGCUAACUUCGUGCCAGCAGCCGCGGUAAUACGAAGGGGGCUAGCGUUGUUCGGAAUUACUGGGCGUAAAGCGCACGUAGGCGGAUUGGUCAGUUAGGGGUGAAAUCCCGGAGCUUAACUCCGGAACUGCCUUUAAUACUGCCAGUCUAGAGACCGAGAGAGGUAAGUGGAACUCCUAGUGUAGAGGUGGAAUUCGUAGAUAUGUGGAGGAAUACCGAUGGCGAAGGCAGCCCCCUGGGAUAAUACUGACGCUCAGACACGAAAGCGUGGGGAGCAAACAG
rnacentral:rRNA from 1 species